UUUAUUUCUCUCAUGUCGUUUAAUGUUAAUCCUUCUGUUUUCCUAUAAUUGUUUCAUAUGCUUAAAUGACUUUGUUUGGACCCGUCUCAGGUUAAGGUAAAAAACAAAGUCAAGAAUUUUUAGUUUAUAAACUUUAAUUAACAAUUCUUUUUGUUUUUUUGUGCAUUCUAAAUAAAUUAUUUUUACAUACAUACUUUUUUAAAAAUAAAAAUAACGCCUUGAGCUUUUCCCCAAUCUGUAACUAUAGUGGAUUUUCCCUGAGUGAGACCUUUGAGAAACACUUCUAAGACAUGUUGAGAAAUAAUGUCAUUUCGAAGAUUUAUUUUAAAUUCGUCAAACCACAUCAACCCCUUUUCUUCUUCCAUUAGAGAAAAUUGUUCCUCUGUUGAAGGACUAUUUUGCAGCAAAAGUUUAAUUAUAAGGACCAUAAGUUUAAUGCAGAGUGUUAACUGUUUCUAGUUCGACUCUUUCUAUGACACUAAUCCUCCCCCUCCCUCCC
rnacentral:lncRNA from 1 species